rnacentral:rRNA from 1 species
UACGGAGGGUGCAAGCGUUGUUCGGAAUUACUGGGCGUAAAGGGCGCGUAGGCGGCCUACUAAGUCAGACGUGAAAUCCCCCGGCUUAACCUGGGAACUGCGUCUGAUACUGGAAGGCUUGAGGAUGGGAGAGGGAUGUAGAAUUCCAGGUGUAGCGGUGAAAUGCGUAGAUAUCUGGAGGAAUACCGGUGGCGAAGGCGGCAUCCUGGACCAUUACUGACGCUGAGGCGCGAAAGCUAGGGGAGCAAACAGG